AAUAAGCACCGGCUAACUCCGUGCCAGCAGCCGCGGUAAUACGUAGGGUGCAAGCGUUAAUCGGAAUUACUGGGCGUAAAGCGUGCGCAGGCGGUUUGUUAAGACCGAUGUGAAAUCCCCGGGCUAAACCUGGGAACUGCAUUGUUGACUGGCAGGCUUUGAGUUUGGCAAAAGGGGGUAAAAUUCCCCGUGUAGCAAUGAAAUGCGUAAAAAUUUGAAAGAAUUCCGAUGGCGAAGGGAACCCCCUGGGCCCAUACUGAAACUCAUGCCCGAAAGCGUGGGAAGCAAACAGGAUUAGAUACCCUGGUAAUCCACGCCCUAAACGAUGUCAACUAAUUGUUGGGGAUUCAUUUCCUUUAUUAACGGAGCUUACCCCUGAAAUUUACCCCCUGGGGAAUUCGGCCCCAAGAUUAAAACUCAAAGGAAUUGACGGGGG
rnacentral:rRNA from 1 species